rnacentral:rRNA from 1 species
UACGUAGGGGCUAGCGUUGUCCGGAAUCAUUGGGCGUAAAGAGCGCGUAGGCGACCAGAUAAGUCCGCUCUGAAAGCCCGGGGCUCAACCCCGGGAGGCGGGUGGAUACUGUCAAGCUCGAGUCCGGAAGAGGCGAGUGGAAUUCCCGGUGUAGCGGUGAAAUGCGCAGAUAUCAGGAGGAACACCGGUGGCGAAGGCGGGUCUCUGGGCCGAUACUGACGCUGGAGGAGCGAAAGCGUGGGGAGCGAACAGG